UUGAGAUAUCGUUGACUCAAGAACCGAUGUGUAAUCUAACUCGAUGCGAAAAGAGUCGCGACUGAAAAUGAGUUUUAGCGUGCGAAAGUUGAAAGAUCAGCGAUGUCUAUAUGCGCUUCAAUGGGUGGUGGAAUUCCGGUCGCAAAAACUCCACAAAGCCAAGAUCGCAAGCUAACCCCUCAUCCGUCCACCGUGUGGUAUAAGAGAUUCUCAAUUCAAAUCGCCGAUCACUAAGCGAAGAUGAUGGGACGUGCCAUUCUCCCUCAUUUUCUCCUCCUCUCCAGCUCUCCUCCGCAGUUGUCCUCUUCACUGUCACUCACUGGAUUUCCAAGCGAAUAUCUCGAAGCUCGGAGCUAAUUCGUCAAAAUGCAAAAUGCGAGAUGCUCUACUUGUUUCCGUUGCCACUCCAUUGUCUCACUCUCGGAGCCUGCUGUUGCAGAGAGUUCUACGAGCUCUACGAAGUAAUUCUCUCUUUUCUGUUUUACACGUUAAUGCUCCAGUUUAGCAGCUGAAGGAUAAGUUAUUUUAUUAAUGUGAGAUUAUUGAAAUUAGUUUUGUACCCUGAAGAAAAUGUGUUAAAUUUUGAAUUUAGCAUUUUUGUAUGCGAUUUUCGAUUCAGUAAAUGUUUUGAUUUAGAGGAAGAGGAUUUGGUCUGGAGUCCAGCCUACAGGAUCUAUUUACCUCGGGAAUUAUUUUGGCGCUAUGAAAAAUUGGAUACCUCCUCAGGUUGUUUUAUGUUAUUUUAGGAUGAAUCGCUUUAGACAUUUUUUGAAUAAUGAUGAUUCUUUAAAUAAUGAUGUAAUUUCUAACUAAAAUGCUUGAAAUGAAGUUUAAUUGAAUUGUUCUCUAUCAUUAUCAUUGCUUGGGUUGAUUGAUUUAUGGCUGUGGUGUGUGCUUUUCUUCUUGUCGUUCUAACAGCCUGGAAUUUGACACAAAGGCCUGAAUGCAACAAUCUUCUUUCAGUAUAUCAGCUUAUCUCAAGGAAGACAAGAGUGAAAUUUGCAGUGGUAAAUACUUUCCCAUUGUGGGAAGUUAAGUAGGAAUGCAAUGAUAUGCACUGGGGAUGUUCAAAACUCUCUUAACGGAUGCCUUGGUUGAUCAUUACAUCAUAUUCAGGUUUCCUCUGCACAUGCGUUAUCCUUCACUAGGAAUUAUGGUGGUGUAUUCACUUCUGAUGCUCAAACACAUGUGGCCUUUUAUUUUGUCUCCUUUUAUUUAUUUUUAAAUUUUUUUGGGAGUCUUUGUAUCUGAAUUCCAAAUGAUCCAUACUUGUAUAAUUUAUUAGUGUGUAUCACCAUAAUUAUAAUUCAUUAUAUUGAAUGUGGCUUUUAUUGGAACUUCCUAAAAAGCAACUGUUCCUUACUUUUGUGGCUAUUAUCAUUUGAGCACUAUCAUGCAAUAAUAUACCAAAAGAAAAGUGUUAAAUUUAGGUCAGAUCUAACUCAGCCGAAAGCUAGUUAAAGGAAGGAGUACCUUAUCCUUAUCCCAAACCAAUGUGGAUUCAACACACCUCGCGUCCAAAACUACACUGGAGCGUGAUAUAUUUUAUAGGAGGAGCAUGAUAUAUUUUAUGGGAGGAGCGUGACUUAUUUUAUGGGAGACCCAAUAUCGGUGGAGAGACUCUAAUACCAUGUUAAAUUUAGGUCUAACUCACUCCAAAAAAAUUUUGUGCUUGAACUCCUUAGAAGGGUAUAUUACCUUAUUUCAAACCAAUGUGGGAUUGAACAAAAAGUAUCCUCUAAGCCAGUUUUUCUUCUUCUUGUAAUUUUAGCUUUCAGGUCUGUUUUCAAGCAUUUAUUAUUUUUAUAGAUAACCUAUGUUUUUUUAUGUUAUCAAUUCUGCUAACAACUUGCACUGAUUUUUCUAGGAAGAAUGUAAAUAUUGAAAUAUGGAUGUGUAAUUUUAUGAAUAGAUGCAUUCUUCAUCUGCUUUUUUGUGUGUUUGUAUAUAUAUAUAUAUAUAUGUUGUAUGCCCAACUUGUGUUGCUUUUGCACUUUGCUGAAGUCAGUAAUCAUUAUGGAUCCAUAGGGCAUAAAUAAUUAUUUUGUAAAAAUCUAUGAAGCUUAUUUACAAUAAGUGGAAAAACUUAACCUGAAGUCCAGUAGUUAAAAUUUGAGAUUCCAACCUCUAGAGCUGAUGGUUAGUCACUGGGAUGGCGGAUGUGAUGGGGUUUAGCAGAUGAGAGGACUAGACCUUGUUGUGCAGGUCAGCCAUUGUGAAAAAAAAAAGGAAGUUCCCAUAGCCAAAAUUGGAAGUGAGAUUAUCUAUUUUUAUGCUGGCCAUAUUUGCUGCCCAUCCUUGAGUUAGUUUAUUAAUUUGUUUUUGUGCUGUCUCCAUCAGUUAAGGAGAUGUAUUUGUGCACAUGCUGGCAAGGCACAAGCACACCAUUUUAACCAUCUUCUGGUUAUACGCCUUCUAAGAGGCAUCAUGCCCAUGUAUAUAUAUGUAUAUAUAUGUGUGUGUAUGUAUAUAUAUUAUUCUAUCUCUGCAUAUAAGUAGAUAUUUUGCUUGUAAUUGCAGUGUCUGCCAAGGCUAUGAUUGUUUUAUGCCUAAUCAUUUCAUGAUUACCCCAUUUUGCUGACACCUAUUAGGAUUCUUAUUUUUCUGAUUGAAACCACUACCAAUUUGUAUUCCGUUGUUGUUAAACAUUGUUGUUAAUUGUUCUCCAUCAUGUAUUCUACCUUUCCAAGUUCUUAUGGAGAAAUAAUAUCUGACUCAGCUUAUGUGGAUAGAGUCUUGGAGGGAGGCACCACCAAAGCUGCAGAGCUAGCAGAUGCCACUCUCAAUAAUGUGUACCUGGCAAUGGGAUUCUUGCGGAGAUUAUGAGAAUUUAUGCUAUUUUAAGAAUUUACAUGAAAAGAUCUACAAGACGGAAACCUUAAAGUUAACUUUGGAGGAUCAAUCAUUGCCCACAAUUAUUUGGACCACGCAUGAGCAUAUAUGUGGUGAGUGAAUGGGACAAUUUAUUGGGAAGACCCCACAUUUUCUUUCCUUGAUGCAGCUGCCUAUACCUCUAUCAUCAGGACAGGUGCCUCUUUUAUUCUUUGUUAGUUAAUGAAUUUUAUAUGACGCAGUUUCUUCAUACUAUUUAUAGUGCAAUCAAUGUAUUGGUAAUCUUGUAUUGUCUUUCUUCACAUUAAACUAUAUGAUCUAAAUUGAUUAUUGGA